rnacentral:rRNA from 1 species
UCCUACGGGAGGCAGCAGUGGGGAAUAUUGGACAAUGGGCGAAAGCCUGAUCCAGCAACGCCGCGUGAGGGAUGACGGCCUUCGGGUUGUAAACCUCUUUCAGCAGGGACGAAGCGAAAGUGACGGUACCUGCAGAAGAAGGACCGGCCAACUACGUGC